AUGGAACAUUGGCUGUGGAUUCUUCUUGCUGCUCUUUUCUUUGAGUGUAAAGGAGAAGACAAAGUGAUCCAACCAGGAGGAGAAGUCAUUGCUGCUGAAGGAGACUCUGUCACACUCAACUGCACCUUUCAGACCAGUUCUUCAAACCCAUAUUUGUUCUGGUACAAACAAGAAGUGAACAGUUACCCAAAGUACAUGUUAAGACGUGAUACCUAUGGAACAAAAGACAAUGCUCCAGAGUUCCACGAAGACAGAUUUGUUGCUGAAGUCAAAGACAAAUCAGUUCCUCUGAAGAUCCAGAAUCUUCAUGUGUCAGACUCUGCUGUGUACUACUGUGCUCUGCGGCCCACAGUGACAGGAAGCAACAAAACUCUGCACAAAAACCUGCAGAGCUCAACAACACAUUUCUCCAUAAUCUCCACUAGAGGGCACCACACGCACAGAAAGUAAAAUUUUAUCUAACACUCCACUUCCAGAUUCUGGAGAAAUUCAGUUUUAUCUUUUUUCUACUUUUUAAAUCUUUGGUUUGGAAUCUUUGGGGUGGGGGGGGGGGUACUAUUCCUGUUAUGAAACUUGUAUUUAUUUAUUAUUUUUGUUUUAAUACUGAAUAAAGGAGCUUUUUACUAAUUCAAUCCAUCAUUUUUGAUUUUAUCAGUUUUUUCUGUAGAUAUUUUAUAUACUUUUUACAGCAAUGAGUGCUAUUUUUAAA